UGUCGAAUGUCUCCGGUUGCGAUGGCUAUCAACAAGAAAUUUCGCAUAAAAGGAAAGGCAGAAACCUCAUGG